rnacentral:rRNA from 1 species
GUGGUUUAAGUUCGAAGCAACGCGAAGAACCUUACAGGUCUUGACAUCCCUGACAACCAAGAGAUUGGCGUUCCCCUUCGGGGACAGGGUGACAGGUGGUGCAUGGUUGUCGUCAGCUCGUGUCGUGAGAUGUUGGGUUAAGUCCCGCAACGAGCGCAACCCUCGCCUCUAGUUGCCAGCAUUCGGUUGGGCACUCUAGAGGGACUGCCGGCGACAAGUCGGAGGAAGGUGGGGAUGACGUCAAAUCAUCAUGCCCCUUAUGACCUGGGCUACACACGUGCUACAAUGGGCGGUACAAAGGGCUGCGAACCCGCGAGGGGGAGCGAAUCCCAAAAAGCCGCUCUCAGUUCGGAUUGCAGGCUGCAACUCGCCUGCAUGAAGCCGGAAUCGCUAGUAAUCGCGGAUCAGCAUGCCGCGGUGAAUACGUUCCCGGGCCUU